rnacentral:rRNA from 1 species
UACAGGGGGGGCAAGCGUUGUUCGGAAUUACUGGGCGUAAAGGGCUCGUAGGCGGCCAACUAAGUCACACGUGAAAUCCCCAGGCUUAACCUGGGAACUGCGUGUGAUACUGGAUGGCUUGAAUUCGGGAGAGGGAUGCAGAAUUCCAGGUGUAGCGGUGAAAUGCGUAGAUAUCUGGAGGAACACCGGUGGCGAAGGCGGCAUCCUGGACCGAUACUGACGCUGAGGAGCGAAAGCCAGGGGAGCAAACGGG